rnacentral:lncRNA from 1 species
GUCUCAUCCUCUCAGGAAGUAGAGCAUCUCUAUUGCACUUAAGAAGCUGAGGCAAUAGAGCCCAAAAAUACUGAGACAGCACCAGUGAUCUGAAUCUUGAAAUUUUAUUCUCUGAUUCAACGUGUUACAAACAAACAUAUUCCACCUGUUACAACAAUCUGGCAUAUUACUUCCUUGAUACGUGAUGAUACAAUACCUCUCAGGUUUGCUGAGUAGCAAAGAGAAAUUGAGAGUACUGCUGGAACAGCAAUUUAACUUCCAGGAAAAUUCAGCAGAUCUUUUGAGACUUAAAGCAUGUGAGAAGUCAGGCACUGUCCAAAGACAGAUACCUUACUUGGAAAACGAUCUUCCUUCCUGAACAAAGAAUUCCAGGACAGAAAAGAGUACCACAGAAUAGCCCAUGUAGCUUAAAGAGCUGUCUUACAAGAAAUUACAGUUAGUUGCAUGUUCAUUUUGCAUUACCACAUAUUGUGUUGGUAUGCUUGUUGACAAAUCUCUAUAUGUGUAUUUGUUUGUAUAUUCAGAAGCUCUAGUUUGCCUGCAGUCAUUGUAUAGGUGGUUUUUCUCAUGAACAUUGUAGUUACAGGAAUAUAAUUUUAAGAGGAAGUUAUACUAAAAAGAAUUGUUUAUUUAGCUAGAUUAGGUAGGAACCAUCAAACAGGCCAUGGCACCUAUGUAUAUGGAAAAG